GAUGAACGCUGGCGGCGUGCUUAACACAUGCAAGUCGAACGAGAACGGGCUAUAGCUUGCUAUAGUUGUCAGCUAAGUGGCGCACGGGUGAGUAAUGUAUAGGUAAUAUGCCUCUUACUAAGGGAUAACAAAUGGAAACGUUUGCUAAUACCUUGUACUCCUUAUUAACAGAAGUUAAUAAGGGAAAGACUUAUUGGUAAGAGAUUAGCCUGUAUUGUAUCAGUUAGUUGGUGGGGUAAUGGCUUACCAAGACUAUGACACAUAACUGGUUUGAGAGGAUGAUCAGUCACACUGGAACUGAGACACGGUCCAGACUCCUACGGGAGGCAGCAGUGGGGAAUAUUGCACAAUGGACGAAAGUCUGAUGCAGCAACGCCGCGUGGAGGAUGACACAUUUCGGUGCGUAAACUCCUUUUAUAUGAGAAGAUAAUGACGGUAUUAUAUGAAUAAGCACCGGCUAACUCCGUGCCAGCAGCCGCUGUAA
rnacentral:rRNA from 1 species